UAUAUUAUCAGUGUCGGCAGCGUCAGGGAAGCAGGUUAAAGUCCUGCGCGGCCCCGCCGCUGUACCCGGGAACGAAACCGCAGCAUGCCAUUGCACAAGUGCGAGAAGGCGCGGGAGUAGGAUGUCCGGAAGCCAGAAGACCUUCUGCCGGCAGUUUUAUCUU
rnacentral:ncRNA from 2 species